AGUCACGGGGAAGGGCGAGAUUUCCAUGAGAGUCGAGAGAGAGAGAGAAUGAGAGGGAAAGUGCGGAGUUAGAAAGAAAGCAGAAGAUGGGCAAGAGAAAUGGGGAUCUCUAUUUCUAUAAAACCUCGCUUUGUUGUUUUCCCAAUUCCAUGCAUUCCUUCAUCUGAAGCUCCUUUUUCUCAUGUAAUGAACUUGUUUAAACUGAGCUGCCAUCUGUUAUUGUUCUUGACAAGAAGAUGGCCGUGCAAAGCCCUUGUUAUGAUUUACUUUACAUCUUCUAAACAUCUUUUGCAUGGAAUUUGAGGCACCCGCCCACAAAGGCAACCUUUUGGAGUUCACACGCACUUGUUAAAAGCCCCUAUCUAUCUAUCCUGAUUCCCUCGGAAACACGAUGAAUGUGAUCAAGAAAACUGCUUCACAGCCGAAAGAUCUGUGUCUGCAGGCAAAGUCAAUGUCAAAUAAAUACUCUUCAGAAUUAAUACCAUCAAUGUCGAAUGAUGAUUUACAGGACAAGUAGCAUAUAUAUGUGAAUAAACUUUAUUUUCUGGGUGGAGCAUAUGACUAAUGUGGAUGUGCCGAGCGGAACGAGUCGUUCACUUCAUCAUGGUUGUUAAGUGGUACUGCCGGUGGUGCUCUUUUCCCUUAAACCAGCCUUCAUAUUGUUUUUUUCUUUAAAAAAAAAAAAAUCCUUAUAGAAACAGAGGAAAACAAAUGUUUUCAGUGCUAUGAAGUGCUUGAGAAAAGCAUUUUGUUUUCCUUCCCCAAUAACAAAGCAUAUCAUUAGAUCUCUCUGUAUGUGGAGCUUUCAUGUAUCAAGUGUGCUAUCUGUUCAAGAGCAAUUGGUUAAUUUGGUUAGAUGGUUAAUUUCAGUUUUUUUUAAUCAUCAACUAAAGUCGUGGGUGCUAUCAUUA